UUUUCGCUCACGCGUUGGCUCCAUUUUGGAUUGAGACGGCGAAACGUUGACCUACCGACAGAGAGAAAAGAAAACUAAAACGGAAGAAAAUUACAUUUAUCGAGUAUGUCUCGAUACAGGGACAAUAACUUGGAAGGAAAAAUUUAUGUUGGGGACUUGAGUCGUGAUGCUUGUGAGAAGGACUUGGAGAGAGCAUUUGAAUAUUAUGGCAGACUGAGAAAUGUUUGGGUUGCACGCAAUCCAGCAGGGUUUGCCUUCGUGGAAUAUGAAGAUCCAAGAGAUGCUGAUGAUGCAGUGAGAGGGAUGGACGGAACAUCAAUAUGUGGAUCCCGAGUUCGAGUAGAACACUCUACAGGGAAAGUUCGACCCAAACCGUGGUUACGUGGAGGUCGACCCCCAAGGUCAGGUGGAGGAGGGGGAGGUCGUCGACCUUUUCAUCCAGAUGACAAGUGUUAUGAGUGUGGUGGGAGAGGUCACUACGCAUAUGACUGUACCCGCAGAGGGAGGUCCAAUAGGGGGUCCAGAAGAUCCAGACAUCCUCAUGAACCAUUGGCAAAUGAUCUAGACUGCCUCGGUUUUCAAGUUAGAUUGCAACAUACAAUGUCUGAGCUCAACCGCACCCUCUCUUAGAAGUGCUCAGAAUCUUCAAGUUCACAGCCCCUUUUUCAACUUGAAAACACAAAAUUGUAGCUUCCCCUGUCUCGGAAAUGAUUAAGUCAUCCCUGCCAUUGUCCAUCACGGCCCAUCUGAGAAUCUUCACCUCAGCUGAUCAUGAUGACAAGAAUUGCAUUCAUCACAACAGUCUAUCAUGGUUUGAUCAGAUUUGAGAAUAGAUUCACACCCUGCUUUGGACACCUGAUCGUCCUGGCCGGUUAAAGUUGUUAGAUAUCUCCUCACAAUCGACAGUCAUUGGCCAAUUAGAUCAGAGAAUAGAUUUACUUCUUCCUCUUCACAACAUCUACCUUUGACCAAUCAGAUUUGAGAGUAGAUUCACAUCAGAUCUCAACACACCAGACCACUAUGGGCCAAUCAAUUUUGAGAGAAUAGAUAUACCUCUUCAGAUCAGCCAAUAAGAUUUGAAGGUAGACUGAGUCACCACCUGAUUCUCCCCCUUCAGACUCUUCUUGAUCUUUCUGCAUUUUGAUAACUUGUUGACAACAAAUGGAUCGCGGUCCAGAUCCCGAUCCCGAUCUCCACGGAGACGUAGUUAUUCCCGAUCUCGCAGUAGGAGUGUCAGCAGACCCAGGUACCGCACCAGAAGUAGGACAAAGAGCAG